AUGAUAUUCAGUUGACAUUCAAGUUCUAACUUGAAGACAGAGGAUUACUUUAAAAAAACUAGUCACAAGUACUUAUGUGGUAUAUUUAUUAUACAGAAAAUAUUAUUGAAACGCGAUUCAUGCGAAGACAUCGUAACAUAUUUGAAAUAAAAUAUACUGUGUUUUGUUUGGUUUCUUAUUAAAUAUAAAAUGAACUCAGUUUAACGGUGGAGCCUAACCAAGUUCUUAUAAAUCAAGAUUAAAGGUAUUAGUCUGGCCCCAUCCGUUGAGGGCCUAAGAGGCAACAUACGCAUGAACUAUCUCACGGACCUCCUUGUGCUUAGUGGUGACCAAAGCGCGUAGACGUCAAAACAUUAAUGCAGUCCCCACGCCUACAGGCUUGAGGUGCCGGUCUGCUUGGCGUCCAUGGCGGCGUGUCGCUUCUCGGACAUGGAGCGGCGCCCCACGGCGUCCCGACUGAAGCCCGCCGCGGCUCCGCACUCGCUGCCGGACUCGCCGCCGCCGCUGCCCCUGCACGCACAACACAUAUAGAUAAAUUAAAGCACUAUCUAAUCACAAACUUAACUAAACAUAGGCUAUUUAUUUCCUAAUAUACAUACUCAUAAUCCAUAUAUUAAUACGUGAAGCAAAAA